UACAAGAAAAAAGGAGAACAGCGACUAUCAAAUAGCAACGGUUCUAGGCAAACUGCUGCCGCUUCCACCUUUACCAGCUGUUUCAAACUGCCGCAGUCAUCAGUGUAUUACCGGCCGUUCAAACCGCCACUCUUUCUAAAGCGACGGUCAAAUAGCCGCUGUUAUCAAGAAGAAGCACUCUUUCUCCAUAGUUCAAAGACGUCGUAGUUCCGAAUCUUCUAAUCCACAGUUGUUGUGCCUCUCGUCGCCACCGUAGCUGUUCUUCAACAGGUACUCUCCUCUUUCGAUCUAUCAGAACGGACCAGGUUAUCAUCUCCGAUUACUCUCUUGUUAAUUUGUUGUUAACUUGAUUAUGCUGAUUUUGAAUGAUGAUAAUUUGUUAAUUUCUUGGAUUCUUCACAGUUUGAUUUUAGGGUUUUUGAGUUUAUUGGUUUAAUUUCUUGGAUUCUUUUACAGUUUAAUUAUCAGGGUUUUGAUAUUUUGUUAAUUCUCUUGGAUUUCAUAUCUUUGAAUUAAAGCCUCAAAUGAAAAAUUAAACCUUUCAAAACCUUCCCAAACUCUAUCACUCAGAAUCUGGAUUUGGUUACAUACCAAUUUAUUAGUUUGAUUUGUUAUGUUUGUGGAUUGUUGUUUAUUUUUGAAAUUUUCUAUAAGCAUUUGGCAUAAACAGUUGCGAGACUAUUUGGGACAUGUUUAAAAGGGUUUUAAUAUAUGGUUUUAGUCUAAUAGUAGAUCUCUUAAACUGAUAUUUUUUCUGAUAUAGUUAUCACUUUGUAAUUACAUUAAUAUAUGGCCUGGUGCUAUUAUUCAUCAUUGAAUUCAUCUAUGAUUGGGCUAAACAAGAAGCAAUUGCAAACAUCACUUUAAACUAAGCAAGGGAUGGCUGUACAUAUAUUUCAUUCCCCUUUUCCUAACAUUGGAAAAUACAUACUCUUAGUAAUUAGGAAGGGAUGGCUGUACAUAUAGAUUCGUUAAUAUUGAAUCAAUUGAAAUAAGUGGUAUAGAUACUUUCGAGACCCUUCUCUAUUCCCCCUAACAGUGUGUGUUGGUGUGUGAGGGAUAUUUAUAUCAUGUCAAACUAAGGUCAAUUAGGAUUUAGUCAUGUGAAUAACAAAAUCACUAGUUCUUUUUUUUUGUCCGGAUAUAGUAAUCAACAGAUUCCAAUAUAAUAAUCCUUACCUCUUUGAAAGGACUUGAUCACAAACAGGGCAUGCUCCAUCAUUGCUUAACAUUUCAUUGGCAUCUUUAGUGCAUGUUAACUAUGUUAAGGAAACCAUAACUAUGUGAAUAACUACCUGAAUAACAUAACAAAUAGGAGUAUCUACCUAAUUUGAUAUGAACUAUACUGAUUUUAUUUUGAAGUUAAGGAACUCAAGGGCAAAAUUGAGAAAAAUGCAUCUGAGUUUAGGCUAAUAUUUCUGUGGGAAGAAAUUAAAUUGUCCACUCAAUGAUAAGUUGGAUCUAUAAUUUGAGUAGUCAUUACAACCAAGUCAUUACAGCUCCUCCAUCAACUGAUGGGCCUACACCAGCUACUAACCAACCUAUAUCACCUCCAAGUAAUGAACCUGAAAACAACGAUGAAUCUCAAUUUGCAGUCAACAAUCCAUCAAACAAGCCAAAGAAAAAGUCCAUGACAUAUUGGACGAUUGAUGUAAGAGAACCACCAUUUGAGUUCUACGCCAUGGAGGUAGCUUCAGAAGCCAUUUAUAGUUGCACGCACAACUGAAUUGGAGACGGAUGCUUAUAUUGCAUUAGAUGAACUUACUUCCAAGUUCAGAUAUCUUACGAGUUAUGAGUUAUGAGUUAUUCUUCACAUAAUUGAGGCUCUUGCAGCAGAUAACAGCAGCCUGGAGGAGCUUAACCUUGCUGAUAAUUCUGUUCCGACUGAACUUUCUGCUCUACAAUGUGAUUUACCAUCUAAAAGCUGCUCACAGAACCAGGAAGAUAAACUUGAUACUAUGCAUCUCAUCUGCAACCUGUGUAGUAGAUGCAUGGAGGAUGAAGUUGGAUGCGUUUGGAGCAAUUAUGCAGGAAAUUCUGAAUUCUUAAACUAAAUUUGUUAAUCGGAUGCAUUCAGUAAUGAACGAGUAGACAUCUGUUUUCAAUUUCGACAUUCGAUAAAGGCUGUUUUUCAUUUCUUCAAUUUUAGUAUUAUUACGGUGGGAGGCUUGGAGUUCACCAAUAUAAUGUAGAACUUAUUCUCUUGACAUGGUUCAGGCAAAGGCACAUGGUGCUAAUGUAGUGGAAGUUGCCUAUCCUUAUUGUUUAUCAUGGCCAAAUUGUGAAGGUGGUUUACAUGACGACGAUGUGCACGUACGCACGGUUGCAAGCGUUAAAGCUUGCUUUGGAAUUGGGGCUGUUUUUUUAUAGAAUUGGAUCUCAAGGUAUACCAACAGUAAUUCAAGUGUGAAAUUAGAUGAUCUGUAUAGUUGAUUUUCUAUAUUGCUUUAGUGUGUUAACUCAAAGCAACUUUGAUGUAAACUUGUGAGUAUCGUUUUCUACAUGAAUUGUGAGAAUCAAUUACUUGAUAUGA